CGGCCAGACUCCUACGGGAGGCAGCAGUGGGGGAUAUUGGACAAUGGGGGAAACCCUGAUCCAGCGACGCCGCGUGAGUGAAGAAGUAUUUCGGUAUGUAAAGCUCUGUCAGCAGGGAAGAAAGAAAUGACGGUACCUGACCAAGAAGCCCCGGCUAAAUACGUGCCAGCAGCCGCGGUAAUACGUAUGGGGCAAGCGUUAUCCGGAUUUACUGGGUGUAAAGGGAGCGCAGGCGGCCUGCCAAGUCUGGUGUGAAAACCCGGGGCCCAACCCCGGGCCUGCAUUGGAAACUGGCGGGCUGGAGUGUCGGAGGGGCAGGCGGAAUUCCUAGUGUAGCGGUGAAAUGCGUAGAUAUUAGGAGGAACACCGGUGGCGAAGGCGGCCUGCUGGACGAUGACUGACGCUGAGGCUCGAAAGCGUGGGGAGCAAACAGGAUUAGAUACCCGCGUAGUU
rnacentral:rRNA from 1 species